ensembl:lncRNA
GCUUCUCACUAGCUGUGUGACCUCGUAUAAAUCACUGAAGCUCUCUGAGCGCCAGUUUUCUCACCUGUAAAAUGGGGCUAUUAAUAAUACCUACCAUGAUACGAGAGAUGCAGGUCAGAUAGCUAGUUGAGUGCCUCAAGAAAUGUCAGCUAGCUUUAUGAUCAUCAUCAUUAUUAUCGUUCUGGGCAUGUGAGCUGGGUCAUGUCUGCUGGACAGGGCGGCAGGGCAGAGCCUCCCAGGGGGAGGGAAGUUUGGUUUCCUUGGAGACAAAUGUUUGUGGGCUGGGCUGGGCCAACAGCACAUGUUUCUGGGAAAACAAAACAAUGUCAUUUUUCUCCCUCUGGCCCUGCACCCAUCUAAGACCAGGCCCGGGAUCACAGCACGUAAGCGGUAAAAACACAGGCAGGUUUUGGGAAAUAAAAAUAUGCAUUUAUUUCUGUUCCCAGGUCCAGAAGCUACUUCCUAUUUUUCUCUCGAGGGAUGGCAAUAGCUUGUGCAAACGCCUGGGGGUGUGCAUGUGUGUCAGAUGCGAGCUGGGUGUGCCUCACUACGACGUCUCCCCUGGUCGUGCUAGGAUCGUGCUCCGGUCCCCUGAUCACGGCUGAUUCGCUAGUGUUGACAGACACCUGACUGCAGGCUGACAAGUCUCUCCUGGGGAUGUGAAACUUGAAUGGAGGGCACGCAGGCAGGGGGCGGUGGGAAAUGCGCCACCCCUGGCCAGCGCCCUAGAGAGGACAGCCACGGGCUCUGCCACUGAACCCCCUGGACAUUCCCGAGGAGUCUUCAUGUCUGGGGCGUGCUCUUCUGCCAUCCUGGGAACAGCUCUCCAUAAAUCCACCACUGGGCAACUUGCUUCCCUCAUCAGGACCUGAAUUGCUCUCUGUCCCUGGAAUCUGGGCUGGGCCAUGAGACUUGCUUUGGCCAAUACGAAAAGGCCAAAGCAUGAAAAGAGCUUGUGUGUGGGGCUUGCUGCACCAGGGACCCUGAGACCACCAUGCGAGCAAGCCCGGGCGAACCUGCUGGAGGAUGAGAGGCCAUGUGGCCCGGUUGCCUCCACCGCCCUUGCCUACAGCCAGACCACAGCCAUGUGAGGGAGGCCUUUGACCGUAGUUGACUGCAGAUGUACGAUGAACCCAGAGACCAGCCGUCCCCACUGGGCCCAGUCCGAGCUGCCAGCCUACCGAGUCAUGCGCAAACCAACGUUUUUUGCUGUUUGAGAUCUAUCAGCUGGAGCGGAGACCUCAUUUAUGAUUGUGCACAAAUAAGUAACCUUCUGGCCAUGCCCUCCAGCCUCGGACCACCAGGAUCACCCCUGACUUGGCUGUCACCCGAGAGGCUCAGGUGGUUCGGAGCACCACCCAGGCCAAGUGGUCCCGGCCAGCUCCUGGGGGCAGGCUGCCUCCUCUUCCUCCAUCUAGCAGACACUGGUGGGUCCCAGAGGAUGCCUUCUCCCGCCAGAGGGCCGGCCAGAACUCAGCCCCGUUUGUGGCUUCAAUCCUCAGACUCGCCUCAUGGUGCAAGCUGCUGGUGCUCCACCCAUCACACCUACAUCUCAGUGAAUUCCGACGGACAAUGGAGCGUGCACGUGAGCGGAAGAGAUAAACGCAGUCUGGGUGUCCGCCAUCCACACAGCGUGUUCACAGCGUCCCACAAGCAGGGAGCUCUGGUGGCCCCACAGUGCAGGGUCAUUCAGCGAGACUCCGGUGAGCACAAGGGGCACCGUAUUGUGUUGCUGGCCCGGCUUGGAAGCUUGCUGUCAGGACGCUUCGUCUCAGAACCCAGUCGCCAUGUGGUGAGGACCCAACCCCCAGGGAAAGGGCGUGUGUGGGUGCCCCGGUCUACAGCCCUACCCAAGCCCAGCCUUUGAGUCACCCCAGCCGAGUGACAGAAAUAAACCUCCAGAGGAUUCCAUUCCCGCCUCUGCCGGCCUUCCCCACACCGCGCCCAAACUUCCAGACGCCUGCGUCGAGCCCAGCCCUCGUGGAGCAGAGAUAAGCCAUCCCCACUCGGCCCCGUUUGAAUUCCUGACCUCCAGAAUCGUGCGACUGGGCGAGUGCAAUGAGCAGAAAUAAACGGGCCGCAGUUUAUUCAUUUGGGUUGGUUCCAAUCUUUUGUGAACACAAAUGGAGCUGCAAUGACUAACUCUGUGUGUAUAAUCUGUACGUUCAGAGCAGAUUCCUGCAAAUGAGGAUUACCGUGUCAAAGGGGAAACGCGUACGUAAUUUUGUUAGCUGUUGCCGACAUCCUCUCUAAACUCUUCUUUUUCCCCAUGUAGCUUUCUUUGUGUUUACGGCAUAUUCGUUCACGUCUAACGCCCGCCCCCCGCAACAUACCUGUGUGCAAACAGAGAAACACACACGGAGAAAAAUGCGCAAAUAAACGGACAGCUUGACAGAUUUGCACAAACC